rnacentral:rRNA from 1 species
GAACCUGAAACCGUGUGCUUACAAGUAGUCAGAGCCCGUUAAUGGGUGAUGGCGUGCCUUUUGUAGAAUGAACCGGCGAGUUACGAUUUGAUGCAAGGUUAAGCAGUAAAUGUGGAGCCGUAGCGAAAGCGAGUCUGAAUAGGGCGUUUAGUAUUUGGUCGUAGACCCGAAACCAGGUGAUCUACCCUUGGUCAGGUUGAAGUUCAGGUAACACUGAAUGGAGGACCGAACCGACUUACGUUGAAAAGUGAGCGGAUGAACUGAGGGUAGCGGAGAAAUUCCAAUCGAACCUGGAGAUAGCUGGUUCUCUCCGAAAUAGCUUUAGGGCUAGCCUCAAGUGAUGAUUAUUGGAGGUAGAGCACUGUUUGGACGAGGGGCCCCUCUCGGGUUACCGAAUUCAGACAAACUCCGAAUGCCAAUUAAUUUAACUUGGGAGUCAGAACAUGGGUGAUAAGGUCCGUGUUCGAAAGGGAAACAGCCCAGACCACCAGCUAAGGUCCCAAAAUAUAUGUUAAGUGGAAAAGGAUGUGGCGUUGCCCAGACAACUAGGAUGUUGGCUUAGAAGCAGCCAUCAUUUAAAGAGUGCGUAAUAGCUCACUAGUCGAGUGACACUGCGCCGAAAAUGUACCGGGGCUAAACAUAUUACCGAAGCUGUGGAUUGUCCUUUGGACAAUGGUAGGAGAGCGUUCUAAGGGCGUUGAAGCAUGAUCGUAAGGACAUGUGGAGCGCUUAGAAGUGAGAAUGCCGGUGUGAGUAGCGAAAGACGGGUGAGAAUCCCGUCCACCGAUUGACUAAGGUUUCCAGAGGAAGGCUCGUCCGCUCUGGGUUAGUCGGGUCCUAAGCUGAGGCCGACAGGCGUAGGCGAUGGAUAACAGGUUGAUAUUCCUGUACCACCUAUAAUCGUUUUAAUCGAUGGGGGGACGCAGUAGGAUAGGCGAAGCGUG